rnacentral:lncRNA from 1 species
CCAAACCAGAAGAGAAGAGAAACCAAGGAAGAACAAACCCUAGGUGGGAAAAAUCAAAGAGAAAGUGUUGGAAUUCAAGGAUUUGAUCAAGCAAAGGUAAAAUUUCUUUGAUUUUGCUAGUGAUUUACCUUACCCAUGCAUUUUCCCUUAAUUUCCAUGGUUAAAUUACAUGCUUUCAUGAUGAAUUCAUGGCUGGUCAAAAUGGGUAUGGAGAGAGAAUGAUCUUGGAUUGGUUUGAUUUUUAGGUAUGUUAGUGUUUUUAGGUGAUUAAUGAUGUGUAGCAUGAAAACAAGUGAAGAAAACCACCAAAGGUUUGGAACCCAUCAAUAGCCGAAUUCUCUAAGUGAAUAAUGAGGAAGAAUGGGAUGUUAUUCUAGGUGAUUUGAUUAAGAAAUAAUAGUUUUUGGUGUAGGAAUUAAUGAAUUAUGGAGAGAAAAUUAAGUAGGAAAAAUCACGGAGUUAGUGUACCAUUGUUGGCCGAAAGUUCCAAGAAGAAAAGUGAAGAUAAAUUUUGCCUAAUUGUGUGUUAAUUAGUUGUGCUUGGUGAAUUGAGGGAUUGGAAAAGAAAUGGAGCAAGUUGGAGUGAAAUUGGACGCAUUGGCCAAUUUAUCGGAUGAAAAAUCGACUUAGGCCAAUAUCGGGUCUAGAUGGCUACCCAUGCAUUUUUCAUUUCAUAUCAUAUAUAUAUCGAGCCUGAAAUAGCUUAUGACUGUUAGACACAAUUUAAUUGGAAUAUGUGUCAUGGAUUAUGGCUAGGUGGUGAGCCAUUGGAUACGGGUAUAGGACUGUACUCGCGGACUGAAAAUAGGAGUAUUUCUACUCCUAAUACUGUGAGUAAACUUAUUAUCGUCUUAAUUAUGUAGAGUAGUUUUAUACAAUUAUGUGAUUUUAUAGAAAAUGGGUUUAAAUGGUAAAUUACUAUGUUUUAGGAGAAAUUGUGAUUUUAUAAAAUGAUUUUAUAAAUUUUCUGGAAAA